UUAAGCGACUAAGCGUACACGGUGGAUGCCCUGGCAGUCAGAGGCGAUGAAGGACGUGCUAAUCUGCGAUAAGCGUCGGUAAGGUGAUAUGAACCGUUAUAACCGGCGAUUUCCGAAUGGGGAAACCCAGUGUGUUUCGACACACUAUCAUUAACUGAAUCCAUAGGUUAAUGAGGCGAACCGGGGGAACUGAAACAUCUAAGUACCCCGAGGAAAAGAAAUCAACCGAGAUUCCCCCAGUAGCGGCGAGCGAACGGGGAGCAGCCCAGAGCCUGAAUCAGUGUGUGUGUUAGUGGAAGCGUCUGGAAAGGCGCGCGAUACAGGGUGACAGCCCCGUACACAAAAAUGCACAUGCUGUGAGCUCGAUGAGUAGGGCGGGACACGUGGUAUCCUGUCUGAAUAUGGGGGGACCAUCCUCCAAGGCUAAAUACUCCUGACUGACCGAUAGUGAACCAGUACCGUGAGGGAAAGGCGAAAAGAACCCCGGCGAGGGGAGUGAAAAAGAACCUGAAACCGUGUACGUACAAGCAGUGGGAGCCUCUUUUAUGGGGUGACUGCGUACCUUUUGUAUAAUGGGUCAGCGACUUAUAUUCUGUAGCAAGGUUAACCGAAUAGGGGAGCCGAAGGGAAACCGAGUCUUAACUGGGCGUUAAGUUGCAGGGUAUAGACCCGAAACCCGGUGAUCUAGCCAUGGGCAGGUUGAAGGUUGGGUAACACUAACUGGAGGACCGAACCGACUAAUGUUGAAAAAUUAGCGGAUGACUUGUGGCUGGGGGUGAAAGGCCAAUCAAACCGGGAGAUAGCUGGUUCUCCCCGAAAGCUAUUUAGGUAGCGCCUCGUGAAUUCAUCUCCGGGGGUAGAGCACUGUUUCGGCAAGGGGUCAUCCCGACUUACCAACCCGAUGCAAACUGCGAAUACCGGAGAAUGUUAUCACGGGAGACACACGGCGGGUGCUAACGUCCGUCGUGAAGAGGGAAACAACCCAGACCGCCAGCUAAGGUCCCAAAGUCAUGGUUAAGUGGGAAACGAUGUGGGAAGGCCCAGACAGCCAGGAUGUUGGCUUAGAAGCAGCCAUCAUUUAAAGAAAGCGUAAUAGCUCACUGGUCGAGUCGGCCUGCGCGGAAGAUGUAACGGGGCUAAACCAUGCACCGAAGCUGCGGCAGCGACGCUGAUGCGUUGUUGGGUAGGGGAGCGUUCUGUAAGCCUGUGAAGGUGUGCUGUGAGGCAUGCUGGAGGUAUCAGAAGUGCGAAUGCUGACAUAAGUAACGAUAAAGCGGGUGAAAAGCCCGCUCGCCGGAAGACCAAGGGUUCCUGUCCAACGUUAAUCGGGGCAGGGUGAGUCGACCCCUAAGGCGAGGCCGAAAGGCGUAGUCGAUGGGAAACAGGUUAAUAUUCCUGUACUUGGUGUUACUGCGAAGGGGGGACGGAGAAGGCUAUGUUGGCCGGGCGACGGUUGUCCCGGUUUAAGCGUGUAGGCUGGUUUUCCAGGCAAAUCCGGAAAAUCAAGGCUGAGGCGUGAUGACGAGGCACUACGGUGCUGAAGCAACAAAUGCCCUGCUUCCAGGAAAAGCCUCUAAGCAUCAGGUAACAUCAAAUCGUACCCCAAACCGACACAGGUGGUCAGGUAGAGAAUACCAAGGCGCUUGAGAGAACUCGGGUGAAGGAACUAGGCAAAAUGGUGCCGUAACUUCGGGAGAAGGCACGCUGAUAUGUAGGUGAAGUCCCUUGCGGAUGGAGCUGAAAUCAGUCGAAGAUACCAGCUGGCUGCAACUGUUUAUUAAAAACACAGCACUGUGCAAACACGAAAGUGGACGUAUACGGUGUGACGCCUGCCCGGUGCCGGAAGGUUAAUUGAUGGGGUCAGCGCAAGCGAAGCUCUUGAUCGAAGCCCCGGUAAACGGCGGCCGUAACUAUAACGGUCCUAAGGUAGCGAAAUUCCUUGUCGGGUAAGUUCCGACCUGCACGAAUGGCGUAAUGAUGGCCAGGCUGUCUCCACCCGAGACUCAGUGAAAUUGAACUCGCUGUGAAGAUGCAGUGUACCCGCGGCAAGACGGAAAGACCCCGUGAACCUUUACUAUAGCUUGACACUGAACAUUGAGCCUUGAUGUGUAGGAUAGGUGGGAGGCUUUGAAGUGUGGACGCCAGUCUGCAUGGAGCCGACCUUGAAAUACCACCCUUUAAUGUUUGAUGUUCUAACGUUGACCCGUAAUCCGGGUUGCGGACAGUGUCUGGUGGGUAGUUUGACUGGGGCGGUCUCCUCCUAAAGAGUAACGGAGGAGCACGAAGGUUGGCUAAUCCUGGUCGGACAUCAGGAGGUUAGUGCAAUGGCAUAAGCCAGCUUGACUGCGAGCGUGACGGCGCGAGCAGGUGCGAAAGCAGGUCAUAGUGAUCCGGUGGUUCUGAAUGGAAGGGCCAUCGCUCAACGGAUAAAAGGUACUCCGGGGAUAACAGGCUGAUACCGCCCAAGAGUUCAUAUCGACGGCGGUGUUUGGCACCUCGAUGUCGGCUCAUCACAUCCUGGGGCUGAAGUAGGUCCCAAGGGUAUGGCUGUUCGCCAUUUAAAGUGGUACGCGAGCUGGGUUUAGAACGUCGUGAGACAGUUCGGUCCCUAUCUGCCGUGGGCGCUGGAGAACUGAGGGGGGGCUGCUCCUAGUACGAGAGGACCGGAGUGGACGCAUCACUGGUGUUCGGGUUGUCAUGCCAAUGGCACUGCCCGGUAGCUAAAUGCGGAAGAGAUAAGUGCUGAAAGCAUCUAAGCACGAAACUUGCCCCGAGAUGAGUUCUCCCUGACCCUUUAAGGGUCCUGAAGGAACGUUGAAGACGACGACGUUGAUAGGCCGGGUGUGUAAGCGCAGCGAUGCGUUGAGCUAACCGGUACUAAUGAACCGUGAGGCUUAACCUU
rnacentral:rRNA from 1 species